AAUAGCCUAACGGCUGAACCAGCAACUUGGAGGAAUGAAUAGCAAUAGCUAAUUGCACAUAUGUAUGAUGCAAUAUCGACUCAGUCGAAUAAAAUUCUGGCUAGAAUUAUGAUAAUGACAUUGUCUAGCCAUGUGUCUUGACCAAAUUACGUGCCAGCAGUCGCGGUAAUACGUAGAAGACUAGUGUUAUUCAUCUUUAAUAGGUUUAAAGGGUACCCAGACGGUAAAUUAAGCCCUAGACGGGACUAAUUUGCUAGAGUUACUUACACGGGGGUUCUAAAGUACUAAUGGUGUAGAGAUAAAAUUUUGUAAUACCAUUUUUUGAAAGAAAAGUUAUGGCACUGAUAAAGGCGAAAGCAUCCCCUUAUGUGAUAACUGACGUUGAAGGACGAAGGCUUUGGAUCGCGAAUAGGAUUAGGUACCCUAAUAGUCUAAGCAGAUAAUUAUGAGUGUCAUAGAUUAGAAAUUAAUUUUAUUCUAUAAAUGAAAGUGUAAGCACUCCACCUCAAGAGUAAUUUGGCAACAUUGGAACUGAAAUCAUUAGACCGUUUCUGAAACCAGUAGUGAAGUAUGUUGUUUAAUUUGAUAGUCCGCACAAAACCUUACCACAGCUUGAAUAUUUAUAUUUUUGAUAUAUUUACAGGUGUUGCACGGCUGUCUUCAGUUAAUGUCGUGAGACUUUGGUUAGAUCCAUUAAAUUAACGUAAGCCCUUACUUUAUUUAGACGUUUUUUAAAUUAAAAAACAACAAAUAAAGUAGUUCCCCACUAUAUUGGAUAUGAUAACAGGGACUAAGACAAGUCCUCAUGGCCCUAAUGCUGU
rnacentral:rRNA from 1 species